rnacentral:lncRNA from 1 species
AGAAAGCUUCUUAGAGAAGUGAGAGGUUGAGAUGGGUCUUUGUUAUAUGUGUUUGUGUCUUUACAUACACCUAUAUACACACACAUAAAAGUAAGAAUGUCCCAUUUAGAAAUGAGAGUUACCUUUUAGCAUGAAAAAAGAAAAAAGAAAAUAAAAAUAGAAUGGGGAUAAAAAGUAAGGUAAAAUAUAUAUAUAGAGAGGAAUUAGGAGAAUGGAACGUAAUUUCCGAA